rnacentral:rRNA from 1 species
UACGGAGGGUGCAAGCGUUAUCCGGAUUCACUGGGUUUAAAGGGUGCGUAGGUGGAUUGGUAAGUCAGUGGUGAAAUCUCCGGGCUUAACCCGGAAACUGCCAUUGAUACUAUCAGUCUUGAAUACCGUGGAGGUCAGCGGAAUAUGUCAUGUAGCGGUGAAAUGCUUAGAUAUGACAUAGAACACCAAUUGCGAAGGCAGCUGGCUACACGAAUAUUGACACUGAGGCACGAAAGCGUGGGGAUCAAACAGG